rnacentral:rRNA from 1 species
UACGUAGGGGGCAAGCGUUGUCCGGAAUUAUUGGGCGUAAAGAGCGUGUAGGCGGCCCGACAAGUCCGCCGUGAAAGCUCGAGGCUCAACCUCGGAAUGCCGGUGGAAACUGUCGGGCUUGAGUCCGGAAGAGGCGAGUGGAAUUCCUGGUGUAGCGGUGAAAUGCGCAGAUAUCAGGAGGAACACCGAUGGCGAAGGCAGCUCGCUGGGACGGUACUGACGCUGAGGCGCGAAAGCGUGGGGAGCGAACAGG